rnacentral:tRNA from 1 species
GCCCGGGUGGCGGAAAUGGCAGACGCGCAUGGUUGAGGGCCAUGUGCCCGCAAGGGCGUGCUGGUUCGACUCCAGUCCCGGGCA